UGAAAUGAGAGAGGCAUGAUUGAUCUUAUUAAGAUUAAAUUUUUCCCUUUCAUCAAUUGAUGAAAAAGUGAAUUUACAUGUAAUCUUCAAGGUUAUUUCCUCGUUUUCUAGGAUACAAGAGAGAAGCUUUUUCUCUUCCUUUUUUCUGGAAAAAUAUGGAAAGAGCCUCUAUUUCUAGAGCUCUUUCUGGCUAUAUAUAGUUGAAGCCACUGUACCCUUUGCUUGACUCGACAUUUUCUUGUCGCUAGCGUGUCCCGGUCGCGUUCCUUUUGUUUUUAGGCGUUACUCUUUUCGACCUGUCGGAGAUCACAGAAGAAAAAUGGAGUGGGAUCUAUUAACGUUCACUGCUCAGUUGUUGUGGCAGGGUGUUGGAUAACUUGGUCGUGGUGGUCAAAUUUUGACUAAAACAACAACUAUUACUACUAAAUAUUUUUGUAAAAGAAUUACUCCUCUUUUACUUUUAUAUCAUUGUCAAAUACAUGUUGGUUUAAUUAUUGAAAGAGAUGUUUUGGUAAUUAGUAUUAACAAUAAAAAUUACAGCUAAAAAUAUUAAAUAAUCUAUUUAUAUAUAAAUAUAAAGUUGGGCAAUAGGUUAGCUUAUGUGGCGCUCUCCUGUGCCAGCUUUUCUAUUUAUCUUUUUUUCUUAGAAUUUUGCCUUUUUCUUUUUAUGCAACUUCUAAAAAAUAUUACUCUACUAGAAAAUCCAACAGUUACAUCUUUAAGAAAGGUUUCUAAUGUAACGAUUAAAGUAGAUUUAAUGUUAAUUAAUACCAAAAAUUGUUGUUACUUCUCAGACCUUUAAUAUUCCUUAACUGGGAGGAGGAAUCUUAAAGUUUCCAGCAAUUACCUGACUUAUAUAUAUGGCACCAAUAGAGAUAUGCAGCAAUUCAUGCAAGAUGUGAAGUGAAGUGAAUCAAAUCAGAUAUUCAAUCGAAACACAGUUAUGGCCAAUGGCUUUUCUGGCCGCAUUUCUUCCCUCACCCACUAGCCUUCCUCUAAUAAAGGUACUUUUUCCGGGUUGAGUUUGGUUUCAACGGAUCCUCCCUAAAUGGAGAAACAAAACAACUUUGUUUGCCCCGAAGAAAGAGAGAAGUUAUUGAAAAUAUAGGUAAUUGAAAUGAAAAAAAAAAUUGGGCCUUUUUCUUAUGUUCUUUUGGCUCCUUUCCUCUCCAUCUAGAUUUUUGCAUGGGCUUUGUUGUAGUUGUUGUUGCAGAGAAAUCAGGACUAAACAACAAAUUUUUACUUUUAGUCGGUUUGGUCUCCCUUUCCUGAUGCUAUCUGUGAUGUAUUUAUGGGAGGAGUUUUGGGAGUACUGGAAUGGUAAGAAUAAUAAUUAAAAGAAAGAGGUAGAAUUGUUAGAUUUUGCAUAAUUUUGUAGCAUAGAGAAGAUUUUAUUGAUUUUUUUUAUAGAAAUUAGGAUGAAGAAUGAAGAGAAACAUAAAAAGAGAAAGAAUAAGAGAAAUAAGAAAAAUAUAGAUAAAAUGGGGAGAUGGUAACUAUGCAGAAGUUAUGGGGAGGUGAGUGAUGACCCGUGAUCUGGAGGAGAAAGAAGGAAAUGAAAAUGCAUAGAAGGAAAAACAAAAAUAAGAGUAGAGAAUAAGGGAUUGUAUCAUUCACGGGUGGCCCAUAUUAUAUUCGUAUUGAUGUGCAUUCCAUCAAUUUAUUAU
rnacentral:lncRNA from 1 species